rnacentral:lncRNA from 10 species
AGGCGCAGGUGGUAAAACUGAAGACCUUCACAAACAGCCAGCACUAAUUUGCCAACCAAAUGACGGUCUUUGGAAAACAGAUCCUCUGGCCUCAGGUGAAAAAUGAGAAGAUUAAAUAAGCCAUGGGAAGAUUUUUUAAAAUGACAUGAAACUCCAAGGGUAAAAAGUAACCUUCUCCCGCAGUAUCCUGGUUCCCAUGCUUUCUGUACCCACGUGCCUACUCUUGCAAUCUAUACAUUGUUCCUGUUCAGCAGAGUUUGGAUGAAUACCCAACAGCCUGAGGAGACUGACUGUUACUUGAAAUGAAGGAGUGUUCUUGUUUGAACGAUCCUGCUCAGAAGGACCAGCCUGGGCUUGCAUCUCUUGUAGUAUUUUACUAAACCCUGCAACAGUAGCCACUUUUUUUCCCUGCCAAGUUAUCUAAAUGUAGAGCUUCCUGUGGUCUGAGUUUUAAGAGAUUACAGUCCAAAGAUGUAAGGGAGGCUCUCUUUGCUAGCAUGAGUCUGGUGCUCACUCCUCAGCCAAUGAAAUCUCACCAAAUUUGUGGAGUUUGGGAAGAGUUUGACAGCUACUAUGGCAGUCAUGUGGACAUCCUUGAGCAGCUGAAGUUGAUUGAGUCCAUGGAUGCAGAACCCCAGAACCUGCAGAUAUGGAGGACUGACUAUACUUGAUCAAGAUGCCCUGCCCGGAGAGGAGGAAUCUAGAGAGGCAAUCUGGCUACAGUGGCUUUGCCGAGCUACAGUGGGCUC